rnacentral:rRNA from 1 species
UAGGGAAUCUUCGGCAAUGGACGAAAGUCUGACCGAGCAACGCCGCGUGAGUGAAGAAGGUUUUCGGAUCGUAAAACUCUGUUGUUAGAGAAGCACAAGGACGUUAGUAACUGAACGUCCCCUGACGGUAUCUAACCAGAAAGCCACGGCUAACUACGUGCCAGCAGCCGCGGUAAUACGUAGGUGGCAAGCGUUGUCCGGAUUUAUUGGGCGUAAAGCGAGCGCAGGCGGUUUCUUAAGUCUGAUGGGAAAGCCCCCGGCUCAACCGGGGAGGGUCAUUGGAAGCUGGGAGACUAGAGUGCAGAAGAGGAGAGUGGAAUUCCAUGUGUAGCGGUGAAAUGCGUAGAUAUAUGGAGGAACACCAGUGGCGAAAGCGGCUCGCUGGACUGCAACUGACGCUGUGGCUAGAAAGCGUGGGGAGCAAACAGG